UUGUUCUCUGCAACUCGAGAGCAUGAAGGCGGAAUCGCUAGUAAUCGCGGAUCAGCAUGCCGCGGUGAAUACGUUCCCAGGCCUUGUACACACCGCCCGUCACACCAUGGGAGUUGGUUUCACCCGAAGGCUGUGCGCUAACCGCAAGGAGGCAGCAGACCACGGUGGGAUCAGCGACUGGGGUGAAGUCGUAACAAGGUAGCCGUAGGGGAACCUGCGGCUGGAUCACCUCCUUU
rnacentral:rRNA from 1 species